rnacentral:rRNA from 1 species
GGUUCAGCCGGCUGUGCGCAUGCCCCUGCUGUCGUCGGGGCGGCGGGUCGGCCUUUGGUCGGCUUGUUUUCUCGAUGGCAGGAGGUCGUGCGGGCCGGCGCCGGAGGCUAAACUCUCCGACGCCGUGCUGGCCAAACCUCCACCAACUCGAACCGAGACUGAAGCAGAAAGGCUGCAGCCCCACGGCUCAGCCGCCAACCGAAGACAACUCUCAACAACGGAUAUCUUGGUUCCCGUAACGAUGAAGAACGCAGCGAAAUGCGAUACGUAGUGUGAAUUGCAGAUUAUGUGAACCAUCGAAUCUUUGAACGCAAAUUGCGCCCGAGGCUUCGGCCAAAGGCAUGUCUGCCUCAGCGUCGGCUUCACCCCUCCCCUCCCUUUCUCUUUUUGCGAAGAGGAAGGCGAGGGGGACCUGGUUGUCUCGGCCCUCACCGGCCGGGUCCGCCGAAGCACAGAGGCUCGAGCAGGACCCCGUUACAAGGGCAACAGUCUGGUAGGCGACCACUCCGGUCGCAUGCCGCUGGUGCCUGGGGCGCCUGCUGGUCGAGCCCGCAGAAGUGGCUGCUUGCCCGUCUUCACCAUGGGCAAGAGCACCCGCUGAACUUAAGCAUAUCA